rnacentral:pre_miRNA from 13 species
GCAGUAUUGACGGUUUAGCGAGAUUUUCUGUUGUGCUUGAUCUAACCAUGUGGUUGCAAGGUAUGAGUAAAACAUGGUUCUGUCAAGCACCAUGGAAAGUCACGCAGCUUUCUACAGCAUGGCA